GCCUGAGGUUCAAGAUGGCAGGGGUGGGCAGCAGAGGGAGAGCAGACAGGGCACGUAACCACACCCUUGAGGAAGAAGGUGGUUCGGGGGGUGGGUACGAGGCUCUGUGGGGUACCCAGAAUAAGGAGCGAAGGGGGAAGGGGUAGAGAGCCUGAGCCUGGUGCAAGCUGAGCCCCGGGGUGCAGGGUGCAUCCUCCCCUUCCCCCCAAGCCUUCCUAGCUACCCCCUCGGGGUCUGGCCUGAGCUGCCCUCUCCAGGUCCAUUACCCCAGACCUUGUCACUGUUUAUCCAGACUUGAGGCCACUCUACAGCCUUAACCGGCCGCCAUUGCAUCCACCAGGCUAAUGCUGACCGUUAUCGCCUUCCUACCCUCGAUCCUGCAGUAACUUCCCAUUGCCGACAGGACCACAUCUAACUUUUGAGCCUGGCGCCUGUGGUCCAUCCGUGGUUUAGCCCUGCUUUGCCCUGCAGCCUGCUUCUCCCUACUCCGUACUCCAAGGCUGUCCUCUGGCCCUGGGAACGCGCACGGCCCCAGACACAGCGUGCUCGCUCCCAUCUUGAACGCUGGGACGCGCUGACACUCUGCCAGGUUGGACCGUGACCCGACUUCAUCCUCUAGAGAGAUGCUCCCCACCCUUUGUGUCUCCUCUCAAGAUCCACCUGCACCGUGAGGCUUCCCUUGGCCUCUCCUUCCACGGAAAUGCCACCCAGUGAGGCACACAUCUCCGUUGUAACAACUAUCUGCUUUCACUUUGGUUAUUCACGGAUGUUUCUCCCUGACUCUUGACAGGGAGUAACUGAGGGUCGAGACAGUGUCUGAAUCACCUUGGGGCCCUCGGCAAUCGCUCUGCGUUUGACCUACGUUGCCGAUGUUUAGUAAACGGAAAACGCACCAAAAAACGUUUGGAAAAUGCUUAGAUCAGUAAACUAAUCCAUGCCACGAGGAGUCCUCCCCGCUCCCUGUUCCUUUAGCAAUGUCCCUCACGCCUCCCCGUGGGACAGGGCGAGGCGGGGCUCCGAGCCCUUCGUGUUCUGUCCAAAUUUCUGGCAUGCAAAGCCGAAUCCGGCUUCAGAGCCCAACACGCUAAGCCCAUCUGAUGAGCUGCAUGUAUUGUGGCAAAUGUCAGCCUCGGCCAGCUCCAAACUAGGUCAGGCCCGGCUGCCAGCCACCAGGAGUCGGCCAGCACUGACUGCCCAGUGGUCUGGCCAUGUGGUUGCAGCUUCUGGGUAGAGAGAGCAGGCGGGGAUGCUGCUGAAAUAGGAGGGUGGUAGCUGGGGGCACCCUUGACCUGGGGUGGAGGAGAGGAUCCGACACGGAGGCCAAGGCAGAUUGAAAUGUUUCCCUUGCUCUGCAUUCAUGAUUUAAUUAGUGAAUUCGCCAUUCAUUCCUUCACUUAUUUAGUCAACAUACAUUUACUGUACCUGCCUGGGAGGCAGGUAUAACCAACCACAGUAAGUUGAGCUGAAGAGACACCGAGGUUUGUACUGGACACACUGGGCUGCCCAGGGGAGGGUCUGUGGAGAUCCGAGAGCCACCAUGUCCCGAGGGCCAGCUGCUUGCACGGAUGCAGGAGCCGGCCUCGACCUCACACCCGGCCCGUGAGCAUGCACUCUCCACCCCCGCCCCCUGCCUGGGUGGCCACUGCCCGGACUUGAGCCCUCUUUUGCUGCCUUUCACCAUGAAAUAGAAUGUCCGCUGCAUUAUUGUGAUUAUGCAUUUUUGUAGGUUCCCUUCAUCGGUUUGAGGAAGUUCCUUCCUUUUCUCUGGUUUGCGGAGAGUUUUUAUCAAGAAUGGAUGUUGGAUUUGUGUCCAAUGCCUUUUCUGCGUCUUUUGAGAGGAGCAUUAUGGCUUUUCUUUCGGAGUCUAUUAACACGCUCUUCUGUUCCAGGUUGAGCUGCCCACCGGUUCCGGAGAAAGGACAAGAAAGCCCAGGGCUGCCCGGAAGCAGAGGCUGAGACUGAGCCUGGGGCCCCACCUUCCCUCCCUGGGGCCCUGCAAAGACUCCAGGCCUCCUGCAGGACCCUGGAUCUGAGGCUCCCACACAGACUCCAGAAUGGUCUUUCCUUCCACGUCUGAGUUCCCUUCUGCGUGGGGUCCCAGGUCUUCCUCCACCCCAUGGGCCAGAACCUUUUAUCUGGAAGCCCAGGGCUCUUUUCCCGGCCUUGCCCUGAGGGAGGUGUCUGAGUCCCGGAAGCUCACCUGCCGUAAUAGCUUUUGUCCACUUGCUUCGGAGGCACCACGCCUCGCUCUCCUGAGCGGCCAGUGCCGUGAUGAGUGUUGAGGACCAUGAUCCUCUUCACCUCUGUGUGCCUCUCUAAAAUCAAAGCCAGUCCUCUAACCAACCAACCCGGCCUCUGCCAAACAGACCAUAGCAGAGCCCUCCCACGUAUCGACGUGUAUUUCAGCCCGGGGUCUUCUGAAGAUGAUGCCUCCGUUCGCUUUAAAGGUCUCGGGCUCACGUCAUCCCCACGGUCAUCCCAGUGCCACCUCCCUGUUUUGCAGAUGUUGAAAUGGAGGCUCAGAGCAGGGGACUCCCUCAAGAAAUCAUGAAUCCCGAACCCCUGCCUCAGGCUCUGCUGUUGAGAAACCCACGCUUAAGAGCAGCUGGGUGGCCUGGAGCAGGACAUUGGACAAUCCGAGCCUCAGCGCCCUCAACCAAUCCCUCGGGAGGUGUUGCAGGCCCAGCCAUGGAACCUAAGAGGAUAGAAGGAAGUUUUUCCUCCUCUGCAUCAUAUCCAUCACGUCCCAAAGUUUCUUCCUGCCCAUUGGGAAUCCCUCCUUCCCGCACCUGCCCUCUUUAAAGCCUGUGGUUCUAAAGCGUGCUGUUGCGAACGGCGCUGCUGUGAACAUUCUUGUACGAGACUUUGGCGCCCGUCUGCACACACUUCCGCUGGCGAGGACUGCUAGGCCAGCGUGCGUGCUUGUGCUCAGCCUCCGGAAAUAGUGCCCGUGGCAGCAGCUUCCAGGAUGGUUCCAUUGAUCCCUGCUUCUCGGUGUUCACACUUGUUCUGGACCGAGCGUUUGGGUCCUGCCCAAAUUCGUAUGUUGAAGCCUUAGGGCUUCCCGGGGUGGCUGUAGUCGGAGACGGGGCCUCUGUGGAAGUAACGAAGAUUAACUGACGUCCUAAGAGGGGGGCCCUGAUCUGAUAGGAUGGGUGUCCUUAUAAGAAGAGAUCAGGGAACUAGCCUGCUCUCUCUUAUUUGCUUUAUCGUGUGUACUCUCUCACCACACUGCCCCACUCCACGCGCGCGCACACACACACACACAUAAACACAACGCUUUUCUGAACCUUGAGAGUAAGUUGUGUACAUGAUGACCUUUUACUCCCAAAUGAUUCCGUCUGUAUUUCUUAGGAAUAUUCCCGUACAUGAUCACCCUGCAGCUACCAACUUCAGUCGGCUUGACGUUGCCAUAAUACUUCUACCUACCUUACUAUCAGUAUUUCCAUUUUUGAAGUUGAUCUAAUAAUGCCCUUUGUGGCGUCUUCCCUCUUCCAGUACAGAAUCCUGUCUAGAGUCAGGCAUUGUUCUUACUGUCACGUCUUUUCAGUUGCCUUCAAUCAGGAACAUUUCCAUGGCCUUUCUUUGUCUUUUAUGACAUUGACAUUUUGAACAAUACAGUCCCUCCCCCUCUUCCCUCUCAGAUGGAACGUUCCUCAUUUUGUUUGUCUGACACUUUCUUGUGAUUAGAGGAAAUAUUGCUUUGCCGGCUGGCAUCCUGUGCGAGUGGUCGACGGGUCUCGCAUCCGGGGCCACACAGUUUCUCUCUGCUCCUCAUUAAGGAUGCUAAUUUUGAUCACCUACCUGGUCCAGGUGGGGUUCAGUGAUAUUUUUUCCCUGAAACUGAUAAGCGACCUGUGAGGACAUUAUACUGUGAGCAGGAACCCUCUUUUUGAAGGUAGCUUAAUUCAAUGUAGUCUAACUUACUGGCUUUUUCCUUUAUAGUGGAUGUCUUUUGUGUCCAGUCAAAAAAAUUUUUUUUUUUUUUUUUUUUUUGCCUAGCUCAGCCUCUAAAGGUAUUCUUCUAGUUUCUUCUAAAAGCUUUAUUAUUACUAGACCUUUGACAUUUAGAUCUGUGAUCCAUCUGGAAUGGAGGUUUUUUUGUGCCUGGUGUAAGCUAGCAGUCAAGACGUGGAAAUCCAAGUAACCCAGAUGUUUUUAUUUAUUUAUUUAUUCUUUUUUUUUUUUAAUGUUUCGUUCAUGUUUUGAGAGAGACAGAGUGUAAGUGGGGGGAGGGACCGAGAGAGAGAGGGAGACACAGAAUCUGAGGCAGGCUCCAGGCUCCGAGCUGUCAGCACAGAGCCCAACGUGGGGCUCGAACUCACGGACCGCGAGAUCAUGACCUGGGCAAAAAUCGGGCGCGUAGCUGCCUGAGCCACCCAGGCGCUCCAAUCCAGAUGUUUUUAUUAAUAAUUUUUAGUUCUGCAAGAAAUGCAUGACUAUGUACCCUCCCCCUAAAAAAUUAUAGAUAAUGCUAACAUCCUCUUUCCCCCAC